rnacentral:rRNA from 1 species
UGAGGAAUAUUGGUCAAUGGGCGAGAGCCUGAACCAGCCAAGUAGCGUGAAGGAUGACUGCCCUAUGGGUUGUAAACUUCUUUUAUAAAGGAAUAAAGUCGGGUAUGGAUACCCGUUUGCAUGUACUUUAUGAAUAAGGAUCGGCUAACUCCGUGCCAGCAGCCGCGGUAAUACGGAGGAUCCGAGCGUUAUCCGGAUUUAUUGGGUUUAAAGGGAGCGUAGAUGGAUGUUUAAGUCAGUUGUGAAAGCUUGCGGCUCAACCGUAAAAUUGCAGUUGAUACUGGAUAUCUUGAGUGCAGUUGAGGCAGGCGGAAUUCGUGGUGUAGCGGUGAAAUGCUUAGAUAUCACGAAGAACUCCGAUUGCGAAGGCAGCCUGCUAAGCUGCAACUGACAUUGAGGCUCGAAAGUGUGGGUAUCAAACAGGAUUAGAUACCCUGGUAGUCCACACGGUAAACGAUGAAUACUCGCUGUUUGCGAUAUACUGCAAGCGGCCAAGCGAAAGCGUUAAGUAUUCCACCUGGGGAGUACGCCGGCAACGGUGAAACUCAAAGGAAUUGACGGGGGCCCGCACAAGCGGAGGAACAUGUGGUUUAAUUCGAUGAUACGCGAGGAACCUUACCCGGGCUUAAAUUGCAGAUGAAUUACGGUGAAAGCCGUAAGCCGCAAGGCAUCUGUGAAGGUGCUGCAUGGUUGUCGUCAGCUCGUGCCGUGAGGUGUCGGCUUAAGUGCCAUAACGAGCGCAACCCUUGUUGUCAGUUACUAACAGGUUCCGCUGAGGACUCUGACAAGACUGCCAUCGUAAGAUGUGAGGAAGGUGGGGAUGACGUCAAAUCAGCACGGCCCUUACGUCCGGGGCUACACACGUGUUACAAUGGGGGGUACAGAGGGCCGCUACCACGCGAGUGGAUGCCAAUCCCCAAAACCUCUCUCAGUUCGGACUGGAGUCUGCAACCCGACUCCACGAAGCUGGAUUCGCUAGUAAUCGCGCAUCAGCCACGGCGCGGUGAAUACGUUCCC